CAAGGGACAGCAGAGAUGAAUCCUAUGAAGGCCGCAUUCCUGCCACUUCCCUGCUGGGGCCAGCUGUCAAGCAGGCAGUUUCAUCCUCCACCCCCUGGAGCCUCCCUUUCCUUCUUUGGAAAAGCACAAAACUUCAAGUGUCGUGCAGAGAAGAUGUACUCCAUGAACUUUACCUCAGAUGGGAUGCCCUGGACCCAACAGCACAGAAGACACCAGGUCACAGACAUCGUAGAAUGCUCAAGAGGCUUGCCAUGCAAAGCAAAGGUUCAGCUUGCGACAUGGCUAGCCAAGAGCCAUGGACUCACUAAUCUGCCUCAGCUGACCAAAUGUUGGAUUUACAGUCAUACACCGUCUGGCUGUUUAUUAUUCUUAGUGAAAAAAAACCAGAGUUUUUAAAAGUAAAAUAAAUUUAGGGGGAAAAAAACCCCGAAAUUAUGGUGGCACUGUAAUCUGAACACCUAGUCCAUAUUUCUCUGGUGUCUUUCUAUAAUUAAUAUUCUUGCCUGUUGUGGUAACACACCUUUAAUCCCAGCACUCCAAGUAGAGAUGGUAAGAUCUAUGUGGGUUCAA